rnacentral:rRNA from 1 species
GACGAACGCUGGCGGCGUGCUUAACACAUGCAAGUCGAACGGUAAGGCCUUCGGGUACACGAGUGGCGAACGGGUGGGUAACACGUGGGUGAUCUGCCCCCUACUCUGGGACAAGCCUGGGAAACUGGGUCUAAUACCGGAUAUGACCAACUUCUGCAUGGUUGUUGGUGGAAAGUUUUUUCGGUAGGGGAUGAGCCCGCGGCCUAUCAGCUUGUUGGUGGGGUAAUGGCCUACCAAGGCGACGACGGGUAGCCGGCCUGAGAGGGCGACCGGCCACACUGGGACUGAGACACGGCCCAGACUCCUACGGGAGGCAGCAGUGGGGAAUAUUGCACAAUGGGCGAAAGCCUGAUGCAGCGACGCCGCGUGGGGGAUGACGGCCUUCGGGUUGUAAACCCCUUUCAGUCGGGACGAAGCGCAAGUGACGGUACCGAUAGAAGAAGCACCGGCCAACUACGUGCCAGCCGCCGCAGUAACAC